AACAGGAUUCCCUUAGUAAUGGCGAAUGAACAGGGAUGAGCUCAGCAUGGAAAUCGGGGUCUCCCGACCUUGAAUUGUAGUCUGUAGAUGUACUGCCAACGGAGGCGCAGAUGUAAGCCUCUUGGAAAAGAGCAUCAACGAGGGUGAGAGUCCCGUUUGUCAUCUGCAGUCCCCCGUGCACGGUGUGCCUUCUAAGAGUCACGUUCCUCGGGAUUGGAGCGCAAAGUGGGUGGUAAAUUUCAUCUAAAGCUAAAUAUUGGUUCGAGACCGAUAGCAAACAAGUACCAUGAGGGAAAGGUGAAAAGGACUUUGAAAAGAGAGUUAAAAGUGCCUGAAAUUGCUGAAAGGGAAGCGAAUGGAACCAGUGUUCUUGAUGAGAUUGUUGCGUACUCUGGUGAUUGCUGGGUGUUCCACCGCAAGGGGGGCAUCUAGUUUUGAGCUAGAUGUGCGUGGUGUUUCUUGUCUUGUGUGUCACCGUCGGUGCACGAGCGAGUAAACCUCCAGGGGGCUGGUAACUCGACCACGGUUGAGUGAAUACCUUUGGCAGUACUCAUUUGUGUAUCGAUCCCUGCGUGUCUGGUUGCAGUGUUUGGGUCGCCUGGAAACUCCUGAAGGGCUUGUCCUCGAAGGAGUCCUUUUGGGCGCCCUGAGCAUCUCCCUGACACAAAGACGAUGAC
rnacentral:rRNA from 1 species